UACGUAGGGGGCGAGCGUUAUCCGGAUUCACUGGGUGUAAAGGGAGCGUAGACGGCCAUGCAAGCCAGGGGUGAAAGCCCGGGGCCCAACCCCGGGACUGCCCUUGGAACUGCAUGGCUGGAGUGCGGGAGGGGCAGGCGGAAUUCCAUGUGUAGCGGUGAAAUGCGUAGAUAUAUGGAGGAACACCGGUGGCAAAAGCGGCUCUCUGGCCUGUAACUGACACUGAGGCUCGAAAGCGUGGGGAGCAAACAGG
rnacentral:rRNA from 1 species